rnacentral:lncRNA from 10 species
GUUCCCGGCCCGCGGACGCUUAGAGAGGGGAGCUUCGGAGUUAUGGGGGGACCCACCCUUCCAUUUAAUAACUGAGAAAGCCACGGGAGGGGACUUGCUGGGCUCACAGCCAGUGAUCCCUGCCCUGUUUCCUUAUGGGGACUGCGGUCAGAAAUGGGGAGUGGGGCAGAAACUGUCACUGUCACGGUCCUGUUUAGAGAGGAAGGUCGGAGAAACCAGUGCCGUGGAAGGCUCUGGGGCGUUGACAGGCGCUGUCCCCAGCUCACCGGCUCUAUGACCCUGGAAGAAUGGAAACUUCGUCAGAGCAGGGACGUGAGGGUGAACUGCUCACCCGGGCACCGCUGGCGACCGGAACCCAGCUCCCUCCGGGCUCCGGGAGAGGCGGCCUCAGCUGUGUGCUGGUGCUGCCCUCCAGCGGCGCUGGGUCCCCAUGGCACCUGGCUUUCUCCUGCUCCCCAGGGGCCUUUUCUUCUCCCGCCCACCUGUCACCAGCCGCCAGGGCAAGUCUCUGUGUGACUCUAGGGUGAAGGUGGAGGGACCUUGCCUCCGAGGAUUCAUCCCACCCGGAUUCCGAUGAGUGAGGGACCCUCUCUGGCACCUGGUGUUUGAAUGGCCAGCCUCACAGUUAAUAAAGACAAGUUUGGUAUCA